AGGGUUGUAACUCAGUGGCAAAGCAUCUGCCUGGCAUGCGGAAGGUCUUGGGUUCUAUUCCCGGCAAUUCCU